UGGUUGUCAAAUCUCUUCUUAAAGACCUCCAGUGUUGGAGCACCCACAACUUCUGGAGGCAAAAUGGAUCAGACAAAGCUGAUUAAGAGUAUAGUUGGAGUUACAAGAUUUUUCCUUCAAAGGCACAUGAACUUGGCAGUCAUGGCUGUCCCAAAUCAACUUUUCUUCAGAUGAAGUAUUCCAGAUUCCUUCUUCAGUCUGUCCUCAUAGAGCAUAUUCCCAUGUUCCUGAAUCAUCUUCACUGACCUCCUCUGAACCUUUUUUAACCUGUUAAUAGCCUUCUGGGAAGGUGGUGCCCAGAAUUGUACACAGUACUCCAGGUGCAAUCUCACCAAUGCCAAUCAGAGAGAAAUAAUAGCUUCAGCUGUCUUUGAUAUGGUGCUUCUUAUUCUAAUACAUCCCAGUAUUAUGUGAACCCUUCUAGCAACUGACUCAUGUUCAGCUUGGGGGCAAAGUGCACACCCAAGCUGUUCUCAGAUGUAAUUUCCCAAGUCAUGAAUCUCCUACUUCAUAUGUGUGUUCUACAUUUUAUGUCCAUAACUGUAAUAACCUACAUUUGCUCUUGUUAAAAGACAUAUUGUUCUUUCAACCUCAAUUUGUUAUCCUAGGUAUUGAUCAGACCUCCCAGUGUUGUAUUAUUUGCUGUUUGACAAGCAGCUAUCAAUCCCAUCAUCCAGAUCAUUAAUAAAAAUAUUAAAUAAGAUAACAUUACAUACCCCUGAUCCCAAGACUGGCCCUACA